UACGGAGGGGGCUAGCGUUGUUCGGAAUUACUGGGCGUAAAGCGCGCGUAGGCGGACCUGCAAGUCGGGGGUGAAAGCCCGAGGCUCAACCUCGGAACUGCCUUCGAUACUGCGGGUCUCGAGUCCGGGAGAGGUGAGUGGAAUUCCUAGUGUAGAGGUGAAAUUCGUAGAUAUUCGGAAGAACACCAGUGGCGAAGGCGGCUCACUGGCCCGGUACUGACGCUGAGAUACGAAAGCGUGGGGAGCAAACAGG
rnacentral:rRNA from 1 species